AUACUAUAUAUAAAAUCUUUUUAACUGCUUUAGAUGGUAGGUAGCAGGUUUAUGUCUCAUUUUCACAGAAUUGUCUUCUCUUUAGCGCGCAGUGCUAAGUUUCUUCCUCUGUGCUUAACGUGGUUCAUAUAUGCUGAAGUUAGCAGCCUCCUCUCUCGAGCAUAGCGUUGUAGACGUUUAAGUCGUCUCUGUCUGUCUUUGUGCAAAAGAAAUAUGGAGGAAAGGAGUGCACUUGCCUCCAAAAUUGAAUCCAUAGACUCCUCCAUCAAGGUAACAAAAAUUCAAACAAACAUCGCUUCCCCCCAGACAUGUUCAGUGACUGUGAUCCCCCUCCUUUUCUCUCUUUCUCUCUCUCGCUCUGUCUGUCUGUCUCUCUCUCUGUGUCUCUCUUCCUUUAUUUUUCUUUCCUCCCAUCCUCAUUUUUAUUGCAACAGAGGGAAAAGCGAUGGAGCAUUUCGUCUGCCGGAGGUGAAAAGAAUUCUUCGAGUGACAAGUCCACCACAGACGACCAGCGAUCCUGGGACAGCUUUAAGACCAUGACCCCUGAGCAGACGUGUGGCUCCAGCGAACAUAAGGACAGACUGGAGUUACGCAAUAAAGCCUGGGACACAUCCUCCGCCAACACACCUGACACAUCCGAAGGAGACUUCCAGACUGAAGUGUGAAUAGAACACACACCCACAACAAACUGAGAGACAGCUAAACCCUCUUACGUACUCACGCUGUCAGUGAUCUUCAGCAAGACGUGUUCUAAAGGAUUCUGUACUUGUUUACAGGUGUGAGGACAGACCAGAGAUGAAGAGUGCUCUAUUCUAUAUUUUCACACAGAGACAUUAAAAUGAAAGAGUGGGGCCUGGAGAAUAUGGUAAAAAAAAAAAUUUUAACAAACUGUUUCUGAAAUGUCUUGAUUUUACUCCAGAACGGAUUCUCUUUCUCCUGUUUGAUGAUUUGGGAAUUUAAAAAAUAAUAUUUCUGCACCCUUCUUUUUAUAGAGGAACGAAAAAAAUCAGUACUGAUGAUUCGCACACAGUUUAAUAACCCCUUAGGGUUUUUUUUCCUCCUUUCUGUCUUCUCAUUCCUUGGAUGAUUCAAGUUCCGUUUCCCUUUUUCUUGCUUUGUUUUUCGGGGAAGAGGGAGGGGAAGUUUUGAAAGUAUUCAUUAAUAUGUGCCAUCCUCUGCUUUUUUUUCCCUCUGCAUCAGACGUACUGUACUGACAUGCUUUUUUCUAUCGUUUUGUUUAGAAUGCUUGUCCAUCUUUUUAUUUUAUUUUCUAAAUGCUUUUUCUAUACCUAAACUUCAGGUAUUUAUGGGAGGAAGUAGGUCAUUUCAAGGUCAUAGUAGGUCAUAGUUUUUCAAAAUGCUAGACGGGAGAAGAUGUGCUAUACAGUAUGUGCGGUUUAUCGUCAAAUUUGCAUUCAUUCACACCAGGGAAGCAUCUUUGCUCCAUCUUUCACAAAACAACCAAAAGGAUCCACAUCCCAGUCAUAAGAAGUUUUGGUUUUCCAGAACGGGCUUAUCCAGUAAGAGACACACUUCCAGCUGAGAACGUUUCCGUUUUGAACUAACACGCAAAGGUGGUGCUACGUUUUCACAUUUCCUCUCCAAUCCGUCUUAACAUUGUGCUGUACUUCUGCUCUUCCAAAAACGUUGUUUUCAUUCGAAAACCGGUGACUACACCAGUCAUCCAGAAUUGAUUCGAAUUCAUUUCUGCACUUCGACUGCAGAGUUUGACAGUUGGCUUAAUGCUAAGCAGACUGCAGAGGUCAUCUUUGCUAACCCGCUUCUCUUUAUAACCCGUUCAUUAGUUGUGUUGGCUGAUGUAACUCCACACGGAGAUGCGGAAAGCGAGAACGAGAGGGCGAACGAGGAAGAGAGAGGUGUGGUAAUUAUCUUGGGGGAAUAACGAUUUGUCCUGACAUUUUCUUACUUGGCGCAAAUUUCAUCUGCUCAAAGAUCCCUGAAGUCAGCAUAUCAUAUAGGCACAGAUGGCAAGACUAGAGCAUGCCAUUUCAACUUUUGCAAGUAAUCUGCACUAAUGGGGAACAUGGGCUGCCUCGUCCCUAUGAAAUAUCUCCAGACUAGCAAUUAAAACUAGUUUUUCGUCUCCUGUCUCAUCUGCAGUCAAGAAAGGCCGAAUAUGAAUCUCGUAUUUGGAAAAGCAAUAUUCAAUUGUCAAGAUUGCUGUUUGUGAUAUUGCUUUUAACUGUUUGAUGAACAAGGAGUUUUCUUUUGGAUUAAAUGUGUUCCACUAAUGAAAUAAAUUUCUAAAGAAGGUCAAGAUACAAAAACUGGAAGUACGAGGCCUGCUGGAGGGUAUAGCACCUUUAUAACACCGACCAAUCGAAUUUGAGUACCAGUACUAAAUGCUUAUAAUACAAAUUUUAACAUUUGGACUUUCGAUAAAGGAAGUGAUGAAAUGUUAAAAGAUCAGACUAUUUUAGUUGUACAGUUCGCAACCACGCAUCUUUAAGCAAACCCUGCUUCAUUUACAGUGCCUGUUUCGUCUUUGUUACUCUUUUGUCUGAUGCAGUCAUCGACCGUUUCAACAUUUUGUCGCUCCACUCUGUUCCCGUCUCUGUAUAUGAGUGUUGGGUUUUUCAUAGAUGUUUACAGAGUCCUACUUAUUGAAGCUGGAGAAUUGCACUCCAGAAUCCCACUACACUAACUAUGUUUUGAUCAGAUUUAUGUAUUGCUCUUUAAAAAAGGAAAAAAAAAAUCUUGAGAAUGGCCUUACAGUCACAUAAAAUUUAUGAGAUAUGUAUUUUGAAUAUGUGCAUUGUGAGGAGGAUGAUCGAAAUGUUGGAAAAUGACCAGCGGCGUGUGGAAGUAUUGAAGAUUGAUUAUGUUUGCUCGGACUUCCUGAUCUGCAGGAUGUUUUCUUCAUGGCUUGACAUGUUUGAAACUUUUGGAUCCUCCCCCUGCCAGCACACACAAUCCCAUUGGCUAAAGAAGAUGGCUAUCUAUCACAGAGAAUCCUCCUUGCACCGUUUAAGUUUUUUAUACAUAAGAUUGUACAAAGUAGUCCUCUACUGUUUUCAUAGAGUGUCUUUUUAUAUGAAAAUAAAUUUUCAAACUGAUAA